AGAGAGAGAGCGUGAGAGAAACAGCGAGGGAGAGACAGCGUGAGGAAUAGAGCGAGAGACUGCAAGAGAAAGAGACAGCGUGAGAGAGACAGUUAAGAGGGAGAGAGACGGCUAGAGAGAGAGAGACAGCAAGAGACAGUGCUGUCUCUUUGUUAAAGAGGGGAGAAGAAAGUUCAGAAGGAGCAAGAACAGAAAAGAGCCCACAGCAUUCCUGACAUCUCCUGACAGUGAAAAGAUGGACAGACUCACCUGUGGAUGUUUUCAUAUGUAAUGCAGACCAUAAGCAAGAUCUGAUACGCUUAGAAAAUACUUCCUGACUUGGAUGUAAUGACAGGAUUGAUUUGAAAUAAAACAAAUGGAAGGUG